rnacentral:rRNA from 1 species
AGUGAACGCUGGCGGUAGGCCUAACACAUGCAAGUCGAACGGCAGCACAGUAAGAGCUUGCUCUUACGGGUGGCGAGUGGCGGACGGGUGAGGAAUACAUCGGAAUCUACUUUUUCGUGGGGGAUAACGUAGGGAAACUUACGCUAAUACCGCAUACGACCUACGGGUGAAAGCAGGGGAUCUUCGGACCUUGCGCGAUUGAAUGAGCCGAUGUCGGAUUAGCUAGUUGGCGGGGUAAAGGCCCACCAAGGCGACGAUCCGUAGCUGGUCUGAGAGGAUGAUCAGCCACACUGGAACUGGGACACGGUCCAGACUCCUACGGGAGGCAGCAGUGGGGAAUAUUGGACAAUGGGCGCAAGCCUGAUCCAGCCAUACCGCGUGGGUGAAGAAGGCCUUCGGGUUGUAAAGCCCUUUUGUUGGGAAAGAAAAGCAGCAGGUUAAUACCCCGCUGUUCUGACGGUACCCAAAGAAUAAGUACCGGCUAACUUCGUG